rnacentral:ncRNA from 1 species
GAACGCCGUAUGCGGUGAAAAUCGCAUGUGCGGUGUGGGACAAGGGAAAAGCUGGAGAUAAGUUCAAAAGUUUACCUAUUGUUAU